UAGGGAAUCUGAUGCCCUCUUCUGGCCU
rnacentral:piRNA from 1 species